CCCUACCCACCCUCGUCACCGCCCCUCCCCCUCCCUACCCUCGACGCCGAUCGACCUCCCCAUCCUUCCCCCUCCCCUGAACGACACCCCUCCACCCAUUCCCCCGCCCUUAAACAACCCACAGCUCAAUGACAUUAAAACCAAACCCGACCCUACACUACUAGAAAAAGGCCUGUUUCUCACGGAAUUAUGCUGACGGACUUGAUUUUUGUCACAAAAUUUAAAUUCAACGACGGAAGUAAGUGUGUCGUAAAAAUCGGUUGGAAAUAUUAAUUUGCUACGGAAAUUCCCUCGCAGAAUUACCGACGGAAUAUAUUUCAGUCUGAAAAUGUAGUUUCCGACGGAAUAUUCCGUUGCAAAUAAUUUUACAAUGGAAAAUUCCGUCGGAACUACAUUUUCUGACCGAAAUAUUUUCCGUCGGAAAAUUUCGGAAAAAAAAGCACCCAACCCUUGUUUUUCACGACAGAAACAGAAAAAGGGGGAAAAGAGAGAAAGAAAGCAAGGGAGAAAGAGAGAGAAAGAGGAAGAGAAGUUCCCGCCGCCACUGGAGCCCAGCAUCGCCAGCCGCCACCGCAUCCCACCGUCGCCAGCCCUCCCGUAGUUCUCCCUGCCGGGUCCUCCACACUCCUUCCUUGCUUCGAUCAGAACCACCACCACCUUCAUCCUCCCGGCGUUCUGCCGCCGGACCUGUAUCUUUUCCUUGCUUUGAAUCUCAAUAAAAAGUGCAGAUCUAGAGGUUGCGUUCCAGUUUGCAUUGCUAUUGAUGAUUAGUCCGGCUGUACUUUCUUCAAAAAAUAUCUUAGCAGAGACUCCAGCUAAACUAGUAUUCCCUGGAGCACUUGCAUUCUGAUCCUCUUGUGAUCAAUGCUUAGCCAUGGUAUAGGUGAUCUCCCUUAAAACGGGCGAUACCUGUUGCGCAGAUGAACUUAGCUUCAGGCUUAUUGUCUCCUAAUCACUUUUCUGAACAUUGCAAAUUCCUUUAUGCUUUUAUCCUCUCCACCGACAAUUACUUAAAAUUUUGUGUAAACCAGGUGGAAGCUUACUGCUGCAAAGCUGGACUUUGUGCACUGAGACGUUAUGCUGGCUGGCAGGAAAACUCUUAGAGCAGACUACUUCUGUCGAUCGUAGCAGAGCAGGAGCGUUUACUUCCUUUGUACUUACGAUCAUGACAUCCUAGGGGGUCAAGUAUCGCUUUGACAUUUUAUCAAAACAAAUAUACUCUAUAUUCAGUAGAAAAUGUUUCUUGCAAGAGGUAUAAAUUCUUGUAGAAAGAGCUUGUCAGAGUUUGUUUUGGUAGGGGAAAUUUCCUUUAUUUUAAUAGAACACAACUAGCAUUACAAUCUGCCAAGCCACUUUACCAAUAAGCUGUAGCUGCAAGCUUCCGGGUCUGCAGGCCUUACUAAUCACCUUUUGCUACUGCAGCUGAUCGUAGAAGGGCGGCAGAGUUUAUUCACUUCUAGGAAUCGAGCAGGCCGUCUUGCCCUGUUAUGAUUCUAGUAUGCACGAGAACUUUUCCAUGCCAAUUGUGAUUGAUUCUAAACCUUGCAACAGCUCUUUCGCUCCUUAGCUGCUGGAUACCCCCCUGAUUAUAGCAUGUAAGGUGGCUUUGAAGGUACCUUCAUCCACUUCCUUUGCCAAAAUUUGCAACCACUAAGCGUAAACUUGAUGGUGCUCAGAUAGUAAGUAGCCAUUCCGUCCAUUCUCCCUCGAAAAACGAUAUAAAACUUGUUUUUGUGUGAGAAUGUAACUGGAAGAAGUCAAUAUUGCUUGAGUAACUGCCUUGAACCUGUCUACCCCUGAGCUGCAGUGUGCUUGCUGUGUGCUAGCUUGCUUGCUGAUACACACCAUAAAGCAGCUCCGUAAGGUACUUUUUGAAGGUCUAGCAACAUUUUUCAAACCUUAUGGUCUGAAACUGAUCUUGCUUUCCUAUCUUCACAAUGCUGAUCAGACGAUAAAGUAGCUUGAAUUACUAGAUCGCUUGAAAGUCUUCUGGCAGAUUCUCUUCAGAGUUUUUGACUCUUAGCAAUGCGAUCUCAUUGUGUUCAGAAUGACUUGCUAUAGAACUUGUAUCAUCUAAACUUAUGCUUAGGAGGAUUCUCUAGAAACUCACGAGUAGCUUGAGCUCCACACGGAAUGAGGUUAUGCUUUCGAAAGUAAGCUGAUGAUGACACUCAAACGAUAAGUAGUACUUCUGUCCAUUCUCCCUUAAGAGAGAAUGAAACCAGAAAAAGACCUCAAGACCGUUUAUGAGCUUUAGUUAAGUUGAAUUUUUAUCCUCGAAUUUGUUGCGUGCCGGACCAAUCAGCUAUAUUGUGGCUUAUGCUAUCGGGUCGAGGAAUUUUGAUUCUUUGUACUCUUUGUAAUAUGGAUUCUUAUAAAGAUAAGGAUACUUCUCUAACUAUUCGGCUGCUUACAGCUGCUGGACAGCUUCCCUAGAGGCUCUCUUCUGUUGGUAAUGCCCCUAGUGCAGCUCACGCAAGUUCUAUUGAUAUCAAUCGAUGACUGUAGUACUAAGAUUAGGCUGCAACACAAUGUGAGCUGAUGAUGAGCAGUGGUUUCAGUCUCUUUCGACCAAAUUCUAAUGCAGAUAUUAAUCAUAGGCUUCGUCUUGUUUAAAUGGUUAUUCUCUCUAAGUGGAGGUUCCACCUAAAAGCAUAAUAUCAGUACAGAGCUUGGGAGCUUUAAAUAGAGCGGCUUCGAUGCUAUAUUGUGAGGUGAGGCGAUUGAUCAGAUCAAAUUUUGCACCUCACGCAGCUACCAAUACACAAUCGCAUCAGAAGUUUGCUGAAGAUCAACUUUAUAAUUGCUUAUUCUUCUUGAGUUUUUUCAUUCUAAAGUUUUCA